rnacentral:lncRNA from 1 species
GUUAUAUUUAGCAUAUUCCAAUAGAACAAACAAAAUACCAUCAUAAGUCAUAUAUAUAUAUGCAGAUAAAAAUAUAUUAAGGAUUUACAUAUCUAGAAUAAUUUUGUAGUCAUUGUUUUAUGAAGUUAAAUAGUUCUAUAUCGGUGUUUUCCAAACUGUGGGAUGCACCCCACUAGGGAGAUAUUGUCUAUGGCAAAGGAGUGUGAAAGAAUUAAGAAAAACAUGAUUUUUGAGACAAACAUAAAAAAAAUUCAAAUUGGUGUCAGAAGAAAAAGAAUCUGCAAAAGAGUUAUAAAUAGAGUUAUAAGAGUUUAUAAAUCCAUGUAUUCAAAGACUUUCUGCUAUAGCUGUUUUAAAGACAAUAUAUCAAUCUGGUUUAGUGACUGAAAAUGAAUUGAGAGUAGUGAUAUCUUCAAUGACACUUUAAUUUGAAAGAAUUUGUGUUGAAAAAUAAGCCUACCCAUUGC